CCUGGCUCAGGAUGAACGCUAGCGACAGGCCUAACACAUGCAAGUCAGGGGCAGCACAAGGAGCAAUCUGAGGUGGCGACCGGCGCACGGGUGAGUAACACGUAUGCAACCUGCCUGUAAGCGGGGAAUAACCCGUUGAAAGACGGACUAAUACCGCAUAAUACUAAAUUACUGCAUGGUAAUUUAUUUAAACAUUUAUGGCUUACAGAUGGGCAUGCGCAUGAUUAGCUAGUUGGAGAGGUAACGGCUCCCCAAGGCAACGAUCAUUAGGGGUUCUGAGAGGAAGGUCCCCCCACACUGGUACUGAGACACGGACCAGACUCCUACGGGAGGCAGCAGUGAGGAAUAUUGGUCAAUGGACGAGAGUCUGAACCAGCCAAGUCGCGUGCAGGAAGAAUGUCCUAUGGAUUGUAAACUGCUUUUGCAGGGGAAUAAAGUGCAUCACGUGUGAUGUUUUGUAUGUACUCUGCGAAUAAGGAUCGGCUAACUCCGUGCCAGCCGCAGC
rnacentral:rRNA from 1 species